rnacentral:rRNA from 1 species
UAGGGAAUCUUCGGCAAUGGACGAAAGUCUGACCGAGCAACGCCGCGUGAGUGAAGAAGGUUUUCGGAUCUUAAAACUCUGUUGUUAGAGAAGAACAAGGACGUUAGUAACUGAACGUCCCCUGACGGUAUCUAACCAGAAAGCCACGGCUAACUACGUGCCAGCAGCCGCGGUAAUACGUAGGUGGCAAGCGUUGUCCGGAUUUAUUGGGCGUAAAGCGAGCGCAGGCGGUUUCUUAAGUCUGAUGUGAAAGCCCCCGGCUCAACCGGGGAGGGUCAUUGGAAACUGGGAGACUUGAGUGCAGAAGAGGAGAGUGGAAUUCCAUGUGUAGCGGUGAAAUGCGUAGAUAUAUGGAGGAACACCAGUGGCGAAGGCGGCUAUCUGGUCUGUAACUGACGCUGAGGCUCGAAAGCGUGGGGAGCAAACAGG